CUGCAAGCCAUUUGGCGUGCCAGUCAGCUGGGCUGUGUGUUCUGUACUAUGGCCUGCGAGAUGUACGAUGUCAUCACAUGGCUUUUCGGCAGGGUCAGUGGGAAACACGAGACAUGAUAGGUUAGUUGCAUAUGAAAUAAGUGCAGAAAAGAAAAGCUGAGCAGUCCUUCCACAGAGCAUACAAAAGUACUGCUGCUUCUGCUACAACGGUUAUGUCGUUUAUUAUAAAGUAUAUGUGAUGGCUAAUACUGAGCAUCAACUUGAUUGGAUUGAAGGAUGCAAAGUAUUGCUCCUGGGUGUGUCUAUCAGGGUGUUGCCAAAGGAGAUUAACAUUUGAGUCAGUGGGCUGGGGAAGGCAGACCCACCCUUAAUCUGUGGUGGGCACAGUCUAAUCAGCUGUCAGCACAGCUAGGAUAAAAGCAGGUAGAAAAACAUGAAAAGACUAGACUGGCUUAGCCUCCCAGCCUACAUCUUUCUCCUGUGCUGGAUGCUUCCUGCCCUCGAAUAUCAGACUCCAAGUUCUUCAGCUUUGGGACUUGGGCUGGCUUCCUUGUUCCUCAGCUUGCAGACAGCCUAUUGUGGGACCUUGUGAUCCUGUAAGUUAAUACUCCUUAAUAUAUAUAUAUAUAUACCCACAUCGUUUAUUUUGUUAUUUAGUAAUUCCUUUUUUCUUUUAUGAUAAACAAUUUUGGCAAAAUGAGAUUUUAAAAAAUGCAUGCAUGCUCAAUGAAAAAGUGUUACUGUCUUUUGACACUCAGGAAGUUAAUGACAAACAUGUAAUUUGCACAAUAUGUUUCAAAACAUUUGCCAUCCAACAGGGACUGUGGCUAUAUUACUGACCUCAAGAAAACCUAUGGACAAAAUCUGCCAAAGAAGUACCAGCAUCUAUGUCAAAAGUUAGUCAUUAUUUUAAGAAGACUGUGCUGGAAGACAAGUAUUUAACAUAAGCAGAUACAAAAGGUGCAGUUACAAGUCACUGUGAAGCAGUGAUGGCUCCUUAUUUAGAUCAGACAUCUGCUCUUCCAAAUGCAUUUUUUUCCACUUGCAAUAGUGGUUCCCAGGGAAGGGCUGCAGGUACUGAUGGGACUGACGGUGGGUGGAAAAACCCAGGCUUUCUGUGUGCCACGCAGCGAUGUUCGGUAACGUCAAAAAUAAUGCCUUUUCCUAUAAAAGGGAUCAACCUAGGCACUACAAGAGUUCCUGGAGGAUACUGGUCUGAAGUUAGCAUGACCUUGACCCAAGAAACUUAUAGUCCUGAUAAGAACUUCCAUCAGAACUCCAGAUAUUCCUGACCUGUAGAAUCUGGGAGCAUAAGGAUGACAUGGUUGUUUCAUGGUUUUUUUAUGCAACAAUAGGUAAGUGAAACAUGCAGCUUCUUCUUAAUCAUUUCCUUAGCCUUAAGAAUUAAAUCCCACAUCCUUAGCUCUCCAAGUAGAAGUCUGGACAAGUCAUGCUGCUUAUUUUCCCUUCUUUCAUUUCAGUUGCAGUGGGAACAAGUUUUGCAGGCCUAUUCGUUUCCCAGGGCUGUUGUAAGAAGUUACCACAAACUUGGUGGCUUAAAAUAACAAAAUGUAAGGCCUGGGGAAGAGCCUUAGAAUGUGUUCAAAUGGUCAUAUGUUUAUAAAAUUUGCAAAAGUAAGACACUUAAACAAUGGAGACUGCUGGUUCUUUCCAUUUUUGCCUCCUCUCUGUUUCUGUGUUCCUUGCGUGGGUGUUGGGAGUGGCCCGGGAUGUUUUUCCAUACGUGCUUUAGUGGAGUUCAAGUCAGAGAUAUAUUUAGUUUUGGUUAAAUGGGACCUAUUUAUGUGGUUUUCCGACAAUUUCACAUAUAGCUGAGUUAUGAAUAACCAUCCUGAUGAGCAAUGACUUCCAGGAAUACUCCCUGAGCCCACUGGGCUGAUUUUCCUGAAGUCAAGACAUAAAUGUGCAGAGUCAGAGAACACAGGGCAAUUGAUACCAGCCCUGGAAGUGUGUGGGGAAGGGGAGGAAAAACAAUGUUUGAAAUAUGUGGAACCAGCAGCUCGUCUGUGGAAAAUUCUUCCAGCCAUCACAGGAUAAAACUGUUGGUAGAGGACUUGAUUCUUAAUGAUGCUUAUUCAAAAGUGUAGUUCUCCCCAGUUCAGAAUAACCUUGGGGAUAUAGUUUGGAUACGUGUCCUCACCCAAAUCACAUAUUGAAAUAUAAUUCCCAGUGUUGGAGGUGGGGCCUGGUGGGAGGCGAUUGGAUCCUGAUGGCAGAUCAUGAAUGGUUUAGCACCAUCCCUCUUGGUACUGUCCUCAUGACAGCAAUGAGUUCUUGUAAGAUCUGGUCGUUUAAAAGUGUGUAUCACCUCCCCCUCGCUCGCUUGCUCCGGUUCUGACCAUGUGACGUGCCUACUCCCCACUCGCCUUCCACCAUGAUUGUUAGUUGCCUGCGGCCUCCCUAGAAACUGAGCAGAUGCCAGCACCAUGCUUCCUGUAUAGCCUAUGGAACUGUGAGCCAAUGAAAUCUAUUUUCCUUAUAAAUUACCCAGUCUCAGCCAUUUAUUUAUAGCAAUGUGAGAACAGAGUAAUAUACUUGGUAAUGCAGAGUAUACAAUUGUAAGUUCAUCAUAUUUAUAUUUUUAGCUUUUGAUAGGAAUUGCAUGAACCAAAAUUGACAGACUUUCCAUAUUUACUGGACAGAAAUCUGUAACAUUACUAUAAAUAAUGAAUAUGUCUACAAAAGCUCCUGUAUGAAAGAAAGGCCAUGGAGAUUUCCUCUAAACUUGACAACAACCCAAAUAUUUAUAUGACAUCAUUAAGAAUGAAUUGUGAAGCCAAAAUAAACUUUUCCAAGCUUCUUGAUAAUAAAAAACAAAUUUUGACCAAAUAUGCUGGAUAAAAGGCUGCAUUAUAUUUCCAUUCUCCAUACUUGGUCUUAGCCAAAAGUCUGAGCAGCAAUUAUAUUUCUAUUCCUUUUAUUUAAAAAAUUAUAAAAUAGCCAGCUAAUAAACAUAUGGAAAAAGUAUGAUAGAGAUAUUUUAAGCAGUUAUUUAAAGAAAAAUCUUAACUGUUUGGACUUCAUGUUUGUGUUAUUUGCCAGUUUAAAAAGUUAUUUGUCUUGUGUUCU
rnacentral:lncRNA from 1 species